CGAGCACAUACAAUUGAAACUCCCUUUAACGGAUUUCCUUCCGUCUCUAUAAAUACCACAUCUCCUUCCCGCUUAAUCAAUUUUCAAUAUUCUCACGAAGAAAACACUCGGAUUUUCGGAGAGAGCCAUCGAGAGCGAUUGAAGCGAAAUUUCAAGGGUUUCGUUGGUAGAUUUGAUCUUAGGUCUUUGAAGAUGCAGAAACUAGGGCUUCCAAGCAUGAAAAGCUUGGAUCGUUUCAAAACCUUAUCAUCCGUCUCCGGAGCCCCGAAAACCUUCUCACUCUCUUCGCGUCCACCUCCCGAUUCAAUUUCUUUGGGAAGUUUCACGAAUUUGAAACUAACUGCAGAGAAACUUGUUAAAGAGCAAGCUUCUGUGAAGACCGAUCUGGAAAUGGCGAAUUCUAAGCUGAAGAAAUCAAUGGAACAUAUUAGUGUAUUAGAGGAAAAGUUGCAGAAUGCUUUCAACGAGAAUGCUAAACUCAAAGUAAAGCAAAAGGAAGAUGAGAAGCUCUGGAAAGGUCUGGAGUCUAAAUUUUCUUCAACUAAGACUCUUUGUGAUCAACUCACUGAAACAUUACAGCAUUUGGCCAGUCAGGUUCAGAAGGCUGAGAAAGAUAAGGAGUUUUUUGAAGGUAAACUAUCUCAAAGCUCAAAAGCAAUAGACUCAUUGAAUGAGCAUAUGGAUGGCCUUUCUUUGAAGUUAAGUUCUGCAGAGGAAACAAUCAGAAACCGUAGAAAGGAAAUAGAAGAACUCAAAUUUGAGAAAGAGGAAAAUGAUAGGUUUUACAAUGAUGAACAGUGCAAAACCACGAAUCUCAUAGAGGAAAAAGAUGCUCUGAUAAAGAAAUUUGAAGCAACUGUGGCAAUGAAUAAACAGGCUGCAGAGAGUUUAAACUCCAAAAUCGGGGAAGUUCAGCUUGAGUUAAGAUCAAAAGAAGAUGAGAUAAAAUGUUUGCUAACCACUCAGGAGAACUUGGAGAAAAGGAAAAGUGAUCUUUUGUUGAGUAAUAAUGAAUUUGCUAAAAAGCUAUCGAUAUCUCUCCUUGAGAUUAAACAUCUUGAAGGUUUUGUUGCUGUGUUGGCUGUGCAGUUGGUUGAACUGGAUAAACAAAAUCUGACUUUUACAGACAAGUUCGAUGAACUAAAUUCUCUCUAUGACACUUGCUUUCACUUAGUCCAACAGGAGAGAGAUCUUGCAGUUAAGCAUUCUCAAAAGAAGUACGAACAACUCCAUGAUAGAUUUUUGUACAUAACAUCAGAAAGGGAUGCAUUACAAUUGGUUAACCAGGAGUUAAAAAGUAAGAUCAUUGAACUUCAGAAAGCCCAAGAGUCUGUUAUGGCCCAGCUUUCAGAAGAAUGCAAUUUAGCUGGAGAGAGAAUCCAGAAGUUGGAGUCAGAAGCAGAAAGUCUGGUCUCAAAGAAGAUUGAAACAGAAAAGUUAGUUUCAAAACUGGAGGAAAAGAUUGACACGCUGUCUGAAAGUUUGAGAUCAUCUGAAAAUAAAAUGCAAGAUCUAUUGCUGAAAAUGUCAGCUUUGGAAAUGGAGAACAGAGAUAAUACAGAAAAAAUGCAAGCAGAGAUACAGGGAAAAAUAGAAGAAAUUGCAAAUUUGGAAAAGGAGUGUGAGAAACAUGAGGUGCAGUUAGAUUCUUUGGAGAAACACGUUAGUCAGCUGCAGGUCAUGUUAGAGGAAAAAGAACAGCUUAUCCUGCAAUAUAAAGAAAGAGAAACAAAGCUGGAAGAUCAAAUUUCAGAGAAUCAGGCAAAGCUGACAGCUGCUGAAAGUAAACUUGUGGAAGCCAGGAAGCAAUACGAUAUGAUGCUAGAAAGUAACCAGCUAGAGUUAUCUAGACAUUUGAAAGAGAUAUCUCAGAGGAAUGAUCAGGCGAUUAAUGAUAUACGGAGGAAGUACGACUUGGAGAAGCAGGAGAUUGUUAAACUGGAAAAGGAGAAGGCUGACAAAGUUGUUGAAGAAAUGGAACAGAAAUGUGACCAGAAGGUUGCAGAGUGCAAAGAGGAAUUAAGGCUGCAUUUAUUGCGCAUUCAAGAGGAAAAUGCUGCUUUAGUCACUUGUCUUCAGCAGGAGCAUGAUAGAAAGGAACUAAAUCUCAAAGCUGACAAUCAUGAGGAGUUAAAACGUGCCCAACUUCAGGCAGAAAAUGAAUUCAGAGAGAAAACAACAUCUCUUAGGAAUGAACAUGAAGUUCAGAUGAAAGCUCUGAGGUGUCUAUUUGAAGAUGAGUGCAGAAAGCUUCAAGAGGAGUUAAGUCUGCAGAAGUCCAAAGAGGACAGGCAGAGAGCUUUAUUACAACUGCAGUGGAAGGUGAUGGGUGACAAACCACAAGAGGAACAAGAAGUGAAUUCAAAAAAGGAUUAUUCCAUUUCUUCAAUCAAGAAGAGAGAUUCUGGUGUUAGCAAAAGAACUCAACAUGCUCUGGCAAGGCCAGAGAAUGGAGAGAAGGAAUCACCAUCACCCGGUGCAACACAAACACCAGUGUCAAAACUGUUGAAGAAAGUAGAAAAUGCAAACACAGGAAGUGUAAUGAGCAUUCCUAAGCAUCAUAAGAAGUUUUACCUUAUGGCAUGGCAGGUAACUCACCAUGAAUAUGAAGUUGAAACUUCCAAUGGAAGAACAAUUACAAAACGAAGAAAAACAAGGACAGUCUUGUUUGAGGAUCCAAGAAAACAUAAGAAAGUGCGUACACCAAAAGUCAAUACCCCUAGAAGUUUUGUCAAGGGAACUAAGGGAAGUCAUCCAAAUGCUUCAAACAUUGGUGAUUUGUUUUCAGAAGGUUCUCUAAAUCCUUAUGCAGAUGACCCAUAUGCAUUUGAUUAAAGGACCGAUGUACGUGAUAUUGAUACCCGAAAGGAGCCUUAAUUUUUCACAUUUAAAAAGAGCUUUUUCACGCGGUUCUCUGGAUGGGCAAUGGACAGCUAGACAUCGCAAUGGAGAUGCAUUCUAUCAUUCUUUUCUGUUUGCUAGAGGCAUGUGAUCAUAUGAUCUGAUUUUUGCAAUUUCAGUUGAGACCAUUUCAUUGCUACAAUCUGGCAUGUAAAGUGUUUUGUAGAUAAAGGACUGUCCGUAGUAUUUAGAACUUUUGUGCCGUGUGAUCAAGCACAAGUCCUGAUGAAAUCAGGUGACAGACUGACAGCCACAAGCUUUUAGCAAGUGUGGAGCUUGUUCAACUGAACGACCAAUUAAUGCUCCAUUUGUGAAGGGUUUUUUUUUUUUUUUUUGCCAUUAAAUACAAAUCUGAGAUGUUCUAGUUCACUUGACUGGGCGUAUAGAUUAAAAAAGCUGGGCAUACAGUAGGUUUACCAGAUUGAAAAGCCUAGAGCUACGAGUAUCAAACUGGUGAGAAUAGCUGACGGUUUGAGGGUUGAAGGUUUAUUGGAGCUUCUUGACUCUGAAAGCUUGGGUGUUGGUCUUCCAUCACCUCUAUGGUCAUCGAACCACAUUGACCUGAUGGCAAGUUUCAGACUCAAACCACCAUCCACCUCUGAAUCAGGAAAUCUGAUAGCAACAAAGAGAUGCGGUAGUAAUUACAUCUGUUAAGAAAAUUUAUGAAGAAAUACCAUUAGGAAAUUUGUAUGCACAGUUAUAGAGUCAAUCUCAAACCACAGUAUCAAGCAAUUAUGUUUGCAAGCACACCCCUUUAGAUACUUUCUGGCAGUCUUGCUACCUAAUUUUUCAUAGCACUGUAACUAAUGC